AUCCCCGGCAAAAUCACCAUUUCCAACUCUCCGACUAGUAGUGAGGUAAGUGAGAAGAAUCCUCCCAUCAAGUUAAUGCCAUGAGCGCCUGCAAAACCCUAUUUCGCUCUUCAAUUUCGUUUAUUGAGUUCAAAACUCGAAGCAGUUAUCAGAGAAGUUUCUCUUCUCAUUUUUCAUCCAAUUUCUCUCCUUUUAACGCACUGCGUCUACUCUCUCCUAAUCCAGGAUUUAGAAUCAAACCGUGUAGAGCUACUUCAAGACUAUAUGGCUGCACUCAAGGAGCAAUUUCACUGGAAACUUCGGACAAUGCGGAGGAAAUGACAGUUCCGCAUGUCGCCGUAGAAAUUCCGGAGGAAAAAUCGGAAGAUACAGUAGAAGAGUUGCUUUCCAAUAGAGACGAUGUAACAAAAUUUAUGAAAAUGGAACGCAGGUCCAAUACUGAAGGCCAGGGUCAUCAGGACCGUUGGUUUCCGUAUUUGGAUAGAUUUAAGGCGGGAAAUGUGGAUUUGAAUAGCGCAGAGAUAUUGGAAGCUUUGAACCCGGUUAUAAUGGAUUCAAGGAAAGAGAGGUUUAGAAAUGCUGUGAUGAAUCGGACAUAUUCUGUAUGUUUAGUGGUGGAAGGUUUGAGUGAUUUUGGCAAUAUUUCAGCUGCGUUUCGGUCAGCUGAUGCACUGGGCAUUCAGUCAGUCCAUGUUGUAGCGUGUGACUGUUCGAAAAGGUACAGGGAGAAUCGCCAUGUCAGCAUGGGAGCUGAGAAAUGGUUGGACAUCGAACUUUGGGAUUCUGUCCUUGAGUGUUUCAAAGUUUUGAAAUCACGUGGUUAUCGUAUUGCAACAACACAUCUUGGAAUGGACACAGUUUCUGUAUACGAUAUGGACUGGUCAUGCCCAACUGCAAUUGUUGUUGGAAAUGAACUUAGGGGAAUUAGUGAUGAGGCUCUUGAAUUAUCAGACUUGCACUGCAGUAUUCCAAUGAAAGGCAUGGUAGACUCAUUCAAUGUAUCUGUUGCUGCUGGCCUACUUAUGCAUCAUGCCGUCUGUGACAGAACUUCUCGCUUGGGAUGUCAUGGAGAUCUAACUAGUGAAGAGAGCCAAAUCUUGCUGGCAGAAUUCACUUUGCGCCACAGCAAUAGUGCAAUUAGGAUUGCUCAUGAAUAUGCAAAAAGGAAGAUACCUGAGCUUAAAUCAAAGCUGUGAAUAACUGGUCAAACUAGUUUCCUGAAGGAAGUUGUUUUAGCCUAUUUGCACGUGGAAACUUCACAGGUGUUGUUAGAUGAAAGAGGGUGUUUAUCUAGUGGAGAUUUGGUGGUUUUUCGCAACUAUUGUUGCUGCUUUUUUCGGCUAGCUCGGGAUUAGUUUUGGCUCGACGAAUAUAGGCGAAGCUCUGGAGGUUAUGGGCAGUAUAUUUUUUGAUGAAAGGCAAUAUUUUUUAGUGAUUUAAGGUGGCUUAGUUUGAGUUUUAGUGACUGAUUUUCAUGAAAGCUAUGGUGUUUUCAUGGUGGUUUGCACUUGAAAGAAGAAGAG